rnacentral:rRNA from 1 species
CGUACGGCGAGUUAGCGGCAAAAGCUCAAAUUUGAAAUCCCCCGGGAAUUGUAAUUUGAAGAGAUUUGGGUCCGGCCGGCGGGGGUUAAGUCCACUGGAAAGUGGCGCCACAGAGGGUGACAGCCCCGUGAACCCCUUUAACGCCCUCAUCCCAGAUCUCCAAGAGUCGAGUUGUUUGGGAAUGCAGCUCUAAGUGGGUGGUAAAUUCCAUCUAAAGCUAAAUACCGGCGAGAGACCGAUAGCGAACAAGUACAGUGAUGGAAAGAUGAAAAGCACUUUGAAAAGAGAGUGAAAAAGUACGUGAAAUUGUUGAAAGGGAAGGGCUUGCAAGCAGACACUUAACUGGGCCAGCAUCGGGGCGGCGGGUAGCAAAACCAUCGGGGAAUGUCCCUUUCGAGGAU